rnacentral:rRNA from 1 species
UACGUAGGGGGCUAGCGUUGCUCGGAAUCACUGGGCGUAAAGCGCACGUAGGCGGGUUCUUAAGUCAGGGGUGAAAUCCUGGAGCUCAACUCCAGAACUGCCUUUGAUACUGGGGAUCUCGAGUCCGGGAGAGGUGAGUGGAACUGCGAGUGUAGAGGUGAAAUUCGUAGAUAUUCGCAAGAACACCAGUGGCGAAGGCGGACUCACUGGCCCGGUACUGACGCUGAGGUGCGAAAGCGUGGGGAGCAAACAGG